AUUGAACGCUGGCGGCGCGCCUAAUACAUGCAAGUCGAGCGAGAAGACGUAGCAAUACGUUUGUAAAGCGGCGAACGGGUGAGGAAUACAUGGGUAACCUACCCUCGAGUGGGGAAUAACUAGCCGAAAGGUUAGCUAAUACCGCGUACGCUCCUUGGACUUCGGUUCAGGGAGGAAAGCGAUACCGUGGGUAUCGCGCUCUUGGAUGGGCUCAUGUCCUAUCAACUUGUUGGUGAGGUAACGGCUCACCAAGGCUUCGACGGGUAGCUGGUCUGAGAGGACGAUCAGCCACACUGGCACUGCACACGGGCCAGACUCCUACGGGAGGCAGCAGUAAGGAAUAUUGCGCAAUGGGCGAAAGCCUGACGCAGCGACGCCGC
rnacentral:rRNA from 1 species